UACGUAGGGAGCAAGCGUUGUCCGGAAUCAUUGGGCGUAAAGCGCGCGUAGGUGGCCCCAUAAGUCCGCUGUGAAAGUCAAAGGCUCAACCUUUGAAAGCCGGUGGAUACUGUGGGACUAGAGUACGGAAGAGGCGAGUGGAAUUCCUGGUGUAGCGGUGGAAUGCGCAGAUAUCAGGAGGAACACCAGUAGCGAAGGCAGCUCGCUGGGACGUUACUGACACUGAGGCGCGAAAGCUAGGGGAGCAAACGGG
rnacentral:rRNA from 1 species